rnacentral:rRNA from 1 species
UACAGAGGGUGCGAGCGUUGUCCGGAAUUACUGGGCGUAAAGGGCGCGCAGGCGGCCUUAGAAGUCAGAUGUGAAAGCCCCGGGCUCAACCUGGGAAUGGCAUUUGAUACUCUGAGGCUGGAGUACGGGAGAGGAGAGUGGAAUUCCCAGUGUAGAGGUGAAAUUCGUAGAUAUUGGGAAGAACACCGGUGGCGAAGGCGGCUCUCUGGACCGUAACUGACGCUGAGGCGCGAAAGCGUGGGGAGCAAACAGG